UGGUAAAAAAAAAAAUAAUAAAUAAUAUAUAUAUAUAUAUAUAUAAUAUACAUUUUUGUUAUUUAAUUUUUAGUCUAAUAUAAAUAUAAAGUCAAAAUUAUUUUUUAUCUAUAUAUUUUAUAAUUUUUUUAACUUGUUAUCCAUAAAUCAACACGUUUCGAAUAUAAGUUAAAUUUUUUGACUCGAUAUUUUAAUGAAUUAGUUUGUGUUUGGCUCGAUUAUGAAAC
rnacentral:lncRNA from 1 species